rnacentral:tRNA from 1 species
GGGCGAAUGGCGGAAAUGGUAGACGCGUUGGACUCAAAAUCCAAUAGUAGCAAUACUGUGAGAGUUCGAUUCUCUCUUUGCCCACCA